rnacentral:lncRNA from 1 species
CCGAGGGCCACCCCCAAGGCAUACAGAGGUUCCCAGGCUUGGGGUCCAAUCAGAGCUAUAGCUUCUGGCCUACACCACAGCCACAGCCACUCCAGAUUUGUGAGCCUCAUCUGCAACCUACACCACAGCUCAUGGCAACACCAGAUCCUUAACUCACUGAGCGAGGCCAGGGAUCGAACUCCAAACCUCAUGGUUCCUAGUCGGAUUCAUUUCCAUUGAGCCACAACAGGAACUCCCUAUAUCACAUCUUUGUCCACUGCUCUAUAGAUUGCUCUAUAGGUUGCUUCCAUACCUUGGCUAUAGUAAAUAGUGUUGCUACUGUUGCCAAAAUUCAGCCUCUCUGUGCCAGUGCUGAAAGGAAAUGUAGAGACAGAGUUUCGGGUAAAGGAGAAAAAGAUAGCUUUAUUGCUUUGCCAGGCAAAGGGGGCCACCGCAGGCUAAUGCCUUAAAGACUGUGCCCCCCGUGGAAGGGGUUAGGAGGAGGUUUUAUAGUUUGGGGGGUGGCAUAAGGAUCAGGGCCAUGGAUAAGGAUCAGGGUAGAGGCAAGCUUGCAUUGUUUCUCAAAGCUGGUGUUUAGUGGCCUCAGGACUGGUUCUGGUGGUCCUCCUUCCCAGACGGAAGAAUGCUUCAUCAUGCAGUUCUUCCAUUUGUUGGGGGUUUUCGAUCUACAGAAGGGCUCAAAAAUAUUGUUUUGUACGUUCCUUGAGGAGGAACCAGGACUCUGCCCCAAGGCUGCACGGCUCAUCCCUGGACUCAGCGUCGCCUCCAUUCCCUGAUUAGCAACUGCCCUUUGGAGCUCAGGGAAGGUCAUGGAGGCUGAGGCUUAGUCCCUGACAACAAGCAAUGGAGGACACAGAAAGGCUUGUGUGCCUAAGAGCCCCACAGGGCACUAGCUUGGUUAUACUACAAACAUAGGGGUGCAUAUAUCUUCUUGAAUUGGUGUUUUUAUUUUCUUUGGAAAAAUCCCAAGAAGUAGAAUUGCUGGAUCAUUUGGUAACUAUUUUUAAUUUUUUGAGGACCCCCCAGACUGUUUUCCACAGUGGCUGCACCAAUUUACAUUCCUAUCAACAGUGCAAAAGCGUUCCCUUUUAAUUGGAGAAUAUAUAUAUUUUUUCUUUUUUGUCUUUUUAGGGCCACACCCGCGGCAUAUGGAGGUUCCCAGGCUAGGAGUCCAAUCAGAGUUGUAGCUGCUGGCCUGUGCCACAGCUACAGCAACAUGGGAUCUGAGCCACGUCUGCGACCUACACCACAGCUCACAGCAAUGCCGGAUCCCCAAACCACUGAGCAAGGCCAGGGAUUGAACCUAUGUCCUCAUGGAUAUUAGGCUCGUGAACCACUGAGCCACGAUGGGAACUUCGAAUUGGAGACUAUUUUGGACAAAUGGUGAUAAAUACAAAAUACAGCUGAGCCUUGAACAACAUGAGGAUGAGGGGUGCCGACCUUCUGUACGUUUGAAAAUUCGAGCAUCUUGUAAUGCUCAGUAUCUACUUUUCCACUGAUACAGUCACCUCACCCACCUACAAGAAGUUAUAUUCCUUAAGCUUCUUUUAGAAAUGACUAGUUUAAAAUUGCAUAGCUUAGAGCGCUUCCUUGUGCUUCUCUCUCUGCUUAAUUGCACCCUAAACAGAAUCACCCGUGAGCUACAGAUUAGGCACCCUGAGCACAGUUGCCUGUGGGUCAAAGAUUAUAAACAUGUGGUUUUUCUAAGGGACUCUCCUAGAUUGCCCUCACCUCUGUCCUCUUCACAAGUAUUUUUAUUUUAGGAAAAAUCGAGAUUUGAUAACCAAGAAGACCAUCAGGAUCAUGCUGAGAUCUCAUGACACCAACUUUGAUGACUAAAGAUUCCCCCAAAGAAAGAAGAAUGCAUUAUUGCUCUCAACACUGAUUCUUAUCCAGAACCCUGUUUUUCUCCUUUUUACUGUAAAACUGCCUGCAGUUCUUCCCAAUGGAAGGCACAGUCUUUAAGGCCUAGACUGCUGUGGCCUCCUUUGCCUGGCAAAUCAGUAAAACUGUUCUUUUCUCCUUUACCAAAAACUCUGUCUCUGCAUUUCUGUUCAGCACCAGUGGACAGAGGCCAAGUUUCAGCAACAUCAUGUCCACAGCUUCAACUAACUGUGGAUUGCAUAGUGCUUCAGCAUUUACUACAGGAAAAAAAACAAAACAAAACAAAAACCCGCAUACACAUAAAAGAAAAAAGGAGUUCCCGUCAUGGCACAGUGGAAACGAAUCUGACUAGGAACCAUGAGGUUGUGAGUUGGAUCCCAGGCCUUGCUCAGUGGGUUAAGGAUCUGGUGGUGUUGUAAGCUGUGGUGUAGUUUGCAGACUUGGCUUGGAUCUGGCAUUGCAGUGGCUCUGGCGUAGGCCAGCAGCUACAGCUCUGAUUAGACCCCUAACCUGGGAACCUCCAUAUGCCAUGGGUGCACCCUUAAAAAGACAAAAAAAAAAAAAAGAAAAAGAAAAAAGGAGUACUCUUGUGCCUCAGUGGGUUAAGGAUCCUGCGUCAUCCCUUCUGUGGCUCUGAUUACAACGUGGGGCAGGUUCAAUCCCUGGCCUGGGAAAUUCUGCAUGCCAUGGGCAUGCCUCCCACCAAACAAAACAAAAUAAAACAAAACAAAAAAACAGGGAAAAGUAGAUUCAUGCAUUUCACACCUAUAUGUCUAUUCUUAACCCACUGCACCACAAUGGGAAGUCUAGAUAGCUCUGCUUAAGAUGGCAUCCUGUUAUCAAUCUUGAUGGUUUUUAACCCUCUCUUAUUUUUUGUCUUUUUUAGGGCCGUUCCCACAGCACAUGGAGGUUCUCAGGCUAGGGAUUAAAUCAGAGCUGUAGCCGCUGGCCUACACCACAGCCACAGCAAUGCCAGAUUGGAGCCAUAUCUACGACCUACACCACAGCUCACAGCAACACCAGAUCCUUAACCCACUGAGGGAGGCCAGGGAUCAAACCUGAGUCCUCAUGGA